CUCUUUACUCGUUCCAUAAUACAAGAUCACGUGACUUACACUUAGUCACAUUGCUUGCAAGGCUUGUGUGUGAUAUUGUAUUACCGAGUGGGCCCCGAGAUACCUCUCUGUCACACGGAGUGACAAAUCCCAGUCUUGAUCCAUACUAACUCAACGGACACCUUCGGAGAUACCUCUAGAGCACCUUUAUAGUCACCCAGUUACGUUGUGACGUUUGACACACACAAGGCAUUCCUCCGGUGCGAGUGAGUUAUAUGAUCUCAUGGUCAUAGG
rnacentral:lncRNA from 1 species